GCCAGAGCUCCUUACCCUAGUCUCGUCGAAGUCUCUGUCUCGUGUUUGUGUCUUAUCAGCGAGUACAGUGCAGGGCGGUAAAGGUUCAACACAUCUCUGGAGACUCUCAGCUCGUUUGAAGACUCUCAGUUACUUUCCAGACCUCCACCACCCCCACCGCCAUCGACGCCGAGCCCAGAAUAAACUCCUCAUCCUCAUCAGCACCUCCUCGACACCUUUUAUACAGAGGCUGUUUUCUGGGGGAGAGUUCACCGAAGAGUCGGCAGGGAGGACUGACCGGAUCUAUAUUAAACUCUGUAAUGUAUCCCAGCAUGCUCGGUGCUCACUUUUUAGUGAAUAAGCACAAAGGCACUGCUGGUUAACGCUGAGCGGUGAGGUCAUCUGUUGUCGAAGUGUGUGCAGAGAUGAGUCACUGCUCCGUAUGUUUGGAUGAAACAAGA